rnacentral:rRNA from 1 species
ACGGAUGAAAGCAGGGGAUCGCAAGACCUUGCGCGAAUGGAGCGGCCGAUGGCAGAUUAGGUAGUUGGUGGGGUAAAGGCUCACCAAGCCUUCGAUCUGUAGCUGGUCUGAGAGGACGACCAGCCACACUGGGACUGAGACACGGCCCAGACUCCUACGGGAGGCAGCAGUGGGGAAUUUUGGACAAUGGGCGAAAGCCUGAUCCAGCCAUGCCGCGUGCAGGAUGAAGGCCUUCGGGUUGUAAACUGCUUUUGUACGGAACGAAAAGUCUCUUUCUAAUAAAGAGGGAUCAUGACGGUACCGUAAGA